rnacentral:misc_RNA from 1 species
AAUAUUGAUUUUUCAUCUGACAGUUAGUAUUGACCGCGUUUCGUUGAGGUUAAAGCGCAGGAAGGUGCUUUAUUUUCUGCUUUGGAUGAAAUCAUAAUUAAAAAUGAGUGAAUUUUAUCAUAUUGUUCCUUGGUUCAAUAGUGACGAGUGGCAGAGAGUGUACAUUGGUAUAACAUCAGAUGCUGAUUCCAGCAAAGAAGAGGCUCUAAAACUUUUACUCGUGUGGAAAGCCAGAUGCCCGUCUCUCCCGUCCGGCAUAGAGUCAACUCUGAGUUUACUGCAAGUUCAUGUUCAGGAUUCAAAGAAUUCUCAUGAUGUGGCCAAUGAUCAACUAAUGCGUCUUGCGUAUUCAUCAGCAGUCAUGCGAUUUGUUAACCACAUGCUGGACACCGAAACAGCUAAAGGGACAAGCUUAUAUCAAGCAGCUAAAACCUUAGGGGUUCCUGACUGGAUUGUGGAUUUACGACAUGAUACUGCUCACAGUAAUAUACUUCCACCUUUAACAUUGUUACGAGAAGCAUGUUCUAUCAGUCUGAAAUGGCUGCAAACUAAUUAUUGGGACAAUCACAAGCAGUACAUCCAGGACUAUGUGUGUGGACAAAAUAAUGUCAACAUUCCUGAUGCAUAUAAAAUUCAAGCACUGAUUAAUUUUUGCAUUUCAUUGGGAAUAUGCACAAAUUCAAAAGUGAAGAUCAAAAAUUUAUCUGAAAUACCAAACUUGACUAUGCGAGAAUCAAUUAUUAAUGAUGCAAAAGAUUUGCUAGGCGAACACCUUGAUCUAUCUAACCUGAAAACGGUGUCUAUUGCAUCGCUUAUAAACAUCCUAAACACGCAUGGUAAAAAGCUUUUAAAGUUCAAGGAUGCAAGCGAAAUUGUUAAUGAGGCUUUGCUUGGAGAUGAUGGACUAUUUCUCUCAAGGGAACUUCUAUAUUUCUUCAGUGCAACAGACUUUAAAUUUAAAAACAGAUUGUACCCUGGUUACGUUCAAUGUUUUGAACUCCUGCUCACAUUCCUUCACACAAAUGAUUUGUUGUUGAACUUUAUAUUGGCUCUUAUAAAGUUAACAUAUAGUCCGGAAACAUCACGUUUUAAAGCAAGACUCGCUUCAAUGUGGCUUUCUGAAAUUUUAAGAGCCUUGAAAAUAUCACAUAAUGUGGCACAGAAGACAAAAAAAAUGGCUUUUGACAAAAUACCAAAGAGGAAAGAUUUGAUACAGCUGUAUGAACAUUGGUACCCGGGCAGUCACAUAAAGAAUGUCCUUGUUUUGGAUCUUCUAAAACCUGUUCCUGAAGAACUGCAAGAUUUAAAAUUCAUUCAACCAAUCCUAUCUCAAUAUAAUACGCAUCUGUCGUUUUUCGUGGCAAAUCUUCUAGAUUUACUUGUGCCAAAACUUAACUUUUUUGCGGCAAAGAGAAUUUGCUUGAUAGCAAGAUUGAUAGCAUCUCCAGAUAAGUUCCCUUUCCCUCCAUCUUCAACUAUUUACACAGCUGACGAUGUGCAAGGUGAAUAUAUUGAUAUAUGCGAACAAUAUGGGAGACGUGUGGUUACUGUGGUGCCUAAAAUCAGAGAACCACCAGCGAAAUUCGUAAAUUUCAUAUGGAACGAAGCUUCUGAUGAACAUGACUGGUCUACAUGCCCUAUUGGAAAGGUACCUUGGCAACCAAAUGAUGUUGGUGUGCAAGCUAAUAUAAAAUAAAUGGAGAAUGGACGAAAAGCACCUAAAGCUGUGCUUAAUAGUCUCAGCUGUGUUUUUUAUCUUCAACAUUUGUUAUAUAUAAGUAGUCAGAAGUCAAAUAAGGCAUACCUGGUACCUGGGCUGCGUUACUCUAGGUGCCAGAAAAGUUCAGAAAUAUAAAUGCAUUAUUUUCGGUUUGUGAGGGUCUCCACGAGGAUAGACCUUCAAAACACAAAUUAUAAUAGGAUCAUGCUCCAUCUGUUAACACCAAAAUCAUCUCUAGCCGCUAUGGCCAUGGUCAAUAUAUACACUUGCCCAUAGUCCUUUAAGUCGAAAUAUGCAGAAUUAAAUAUUAAAUUCAUAUCAAAUGUAUAACAUUAUUAUAACUUUAUGUAGAAAUAAAUAUAAAGUUUAUGUCGAAAGUAUAACAUUGGCGUACCUUUAUGUAGAAAUAAAGUUCAUGUCAAAUGUAUUACAUAUUGGUGUAUCUUUAUGUCGAAAUAAAAGCAUAAUAAAACACAUUUAUCUCAUUA